rnacentral:rRNA from 1 species
GUGGGGAAUAUUGGACAAUGGGCGAAAGCCUGAUCCAGCCAUGCCGCGUGUGUGAAGAAGGUCUUCGGAUUGUAAAGCACUUUAAGUUGGGAGGAAGGGCAGUAAGUUAAUACCUUGCUGUUUUGACGUUACCGACAGAAUAAGCACCGGCUAACUUCGUGCCAGCAGUCGCGGUAAUACGAAGGGUGCAAGCGUUAAUCGGAAUUACUGGGCGUAAAGCGCGCGUAGGUGGUUUUGUAAGUUGGAGGUGAAAUCCCCGGGCUCAACCUGGGAACUGCCUCAAAAACUGCAUGACUAGAGUACGGUAGAGGGUAGUGGAAUUUCCUGUGUAGCGGUGAAAUGCGUAGAUACAGGAAGGAACACCAGUGGCGAAGGCGACUACCUGGACUGAUACUGACACUGAGGUGCGAAAGCAUGGGGAGCAAACAGGAUUAGAAACCCUGGUAGUCC